rnacentral:rRNA from 1 species
UACGGAGGGUGCAAGCGUUGUUCGGAAUGACUGGGCGUAAAGCGCACGUAGGCGGGUUUUUAAGUCGGAUGUGAAAGCCCCGGGCUCAACCUGGGAACAGCAUACGAAACUGGAGAUCUUGAAUAUCUGAGAGGCCAGUGGAAUUCCAGGUGUAGGAGUGAAAUCCGUAGAUAUCUGGAGGAACACCAGAGGCGAAGGCGGCUGGCUGGCGGUAUAUUGACGCUGAGGUGCGAAAGCGUGGGGAGCAAACAGG